GCCGGGAUGGCAGAACCAGGUAUAGCGCCAGACUCGAGAUCUGGUGUCCUUCGGGACUUUUGGGUUCAAAUCCCAAUCCCGGCG
rnacentral:tRNA from 1 species